UUCGAUUAUGGCUCAGAUUGAACGCUGGCGGAUGCGCACACACAUGCAAGUCGAACGGCUUACAGACUUCGGUCUGGUGGCGAGUGGCGAACGGGUGAGUAAUGUAUCGGAACGUGCCCUGUGGCGGGGAUAACUACGCAGCGUAGCUAAUACCACAUACGCCCUUCGGGGGAAAGCGGGGGACCUUCGGGCCUCGCACUAUUAAACGGCCGAUAUCGGAUUAGCUAGUUGGUGGGGUAACGGCUCACCAAGGCGACGAUCCGUAGCUGGUUCGAGGACGACCCAGCCACACUGGGACUGGGGCUGACCCAGACUCUACCAGGAGGCAGCGAGUGGGAAUUUUUGGACAAUGGGGGAAACCUGAUCCAGCCAUCCCGCGUGUGCGAUGAAGGCCUUCGGGUUUAUGCUUUUGGCAGGAAAGAAACGGCACGGGAUAAUACCCCGUGCAACUGACGGUACCUGCAGAAUAAAGCACCGGCUAACUACGUGCCAGCAGCCGCGGUAUGCACCCGUAGGGUGCAAGCGUUAAUCAGAUUACUGGGCGUAAAGCGUGCGCAGGCGGUUCGGAAAGAAGAUGUGAAAUCCCAGAGCAACUUUGGAACUGUUUUUAACUACCGAGCUAGAGUGUGUCAGAGGGAGGUGGAAUUCCACGUGUAGCAGUGAAAUGCGUAGAUAUGCGGAGGAGAACACCGAUGGCGAAGGCAACCUCCUGGGAUAACACUGACGCUCAUGCACGAAAGCGUGGGGAGCAAACAGGAUUAGAUACCCUGGUAGUCCACGCCCUAAACGAUGUCAACUAGCUGUUGGGGCCUUCGGGCCUUGGUAGCGCAACUAACGCGUGAAGUUGACCGCCUGGGGAAGUACGGUCGCAAGAUUAAAACUCAAAGGAAUUGACGGGGACCCGCACAAGCGGUGGAUGAUGUGGAUUAAUUCGAUGCAACGCGAAAAACCUUACCUACAUGACAUGUCUGGAAUCCCGAAGAGAUUUGGGAGUGCUCGCAAGAGAACCGGAACACGAGUGCUGCAUGGCUGUCGUCAGCUCGUGUCGUGAGAUGUUGGGUUAAGUCCACAACGAGCACAAUACACUGUCAUUAGUUGCUACGAAAAGGUCUAAUGAGACUGCCGGUGACAAACCGGAGGAAGGUGGGGAUGACGUCAAGUCCUCAUGGCCCUUAUGGGUAGGGCUUCGUCAUACAAUGGUCGGGACAGAGGGUCGCCAACCCGCGAGGGAGCCAAUCCCAGAAACCCGAUCGUAGUCCGGAUCGCAGUCUGCAACUCGACUGCGUGAAGUCGGAAUCGCUGGUAAUCGCAGGAUCAGCAUGUCGCGGUGAGCGUUCCCGGGUCUUGUACACACCGCCCCGUCACACCAUGGGAGUGGGUUUUACCAGAAGUAGUAGCCUAACCGUAAGGAGGGCGAUUACCACGGUAGGAUUCAUGACUGGGGUGAAGUCGUAACAAGGUAG
rnacentral:rRNA from 1 species